ACAGUCUUGGGCUAGUGGUUAUGCUGCACGCUUCCCAAACAGGAAUUCAGCGUGCGACGCGAGUUCGAAUCUCGCAGGCUGUA